rfam:Stegodyphus mimosarum contig104586, whole genome shotgun sequence.
UCAAAGGCUUUUCUUAAAGCCAAAAGUACAACCUAAGCAUAGAAAG